rnacentral:rRNA from 1 species
GGUAAUGAUGGCAGAGAGGUCACACCCGUUCCCAUACCGAACACGGAAGUUAAGCUCUCUAGCGCCGAUGGUAGUUGGGACCUUGUCC